GGGUCAGUAGGUUGGUCGUGCCACCGGUACGUACUGGUCUCACUGAUUCCUCCUUCCUGAAGAACCGUAAUGCCAUUAAUUUGGUGUUGCGGGGGGACAGGACUGUUACUUUGAAAAAAUUAGAGUGUUUAAAGCAAGCUAACGCUUGAAUACAUUAGCAUGGAAUAAUGAAAUAGGACGAUCGAUCCUAUUUUGUUGGUUUCUAGGAUUGACGUA
rnacentral:rRNA from 1 species